GACGAACGCUGGCGGCGUGCUUAACACAUGCAAGUCGAACGGAAAGGCCCUGCUUUUGUGGGGUGCUCGAGUGGCGAACGGGUGAGUAACACGUGAGUAACCUGCCCUUGACUUUGGGAUAACUUCAGGAAACUGGGGCUAAUACCGGAUAGGAGCUCCUGCUGCAUGGUGGGGGUUGGAAAGUUUCGGCGGUUGGGGAUGGACUCGCGGCUUAUCAGCUUGUUGGUGGGGUAGUGGCUUACCAAGGCUUUGACGGGUAGCCGGCCUGAGAGGGUGACCGGCCACAUUGGGACUGAGAGACGGCCCAGACUCCUACGGGAGGCAGCAGGGGGGAAUAUUGCACAAUGGGCGGAAGCCUGAGACAGCAACGCCGCGUGCGGGAUGACGGCCUUCGGGUUGUAAACCGCUUUCGCCUGUGACGAAGCGUGAGUGACGGUAAUGGGUAAAGAAGCACCGGCUAACUACGUG
rnacentral:rRNA from 1 species